GCAAGUCGAGCGGCAGCACUUCGGGUGGCAAGCGGCGAACGGGUGAGUAGUAGUUAGCAACUUGCCCUCCAGACGGGAAUAGCCACCGUAAUGGUGAUUAAUGCCCGAUAUGAGGAAACUUGAAAGGUGCGUUUGUACCACUGGAGGAUAGGGCUAACCCCUAUUAGCUUGUUGGUAGGGUAAUAGAGUAAAAAGGCGAUGAGAGGGAGACGGCCGGAGAGGGUGAUC
rnacentral:rRNA from 1 species